GUUCAUGAAACUCCUCGGUAACUAAUAAUAUCCUUAUAUUUUAUAAGAGGGGGUACUUUAUUCACUAUAUAUAUAUAUUUUUUUUUUUUUGGGGAUGCACAGUCAGAGGAGGCCAUUGCUUUGUGGCUGCGUAUUAAAUCCAUUCUCCGUUAGAAAAGGGCUAUAAAAUUUCCACUCCCGAAGUGUAAAUCUUCCUUUCUUUUUGCAUAGUCACCCGCUAGAAUGGGGCCUCUAGUGAAGACUAAUCCUUUCAUUUUGUGGGACUCUAGUGAAAAAGAAAAUACGUGCACCAUGGAAACAGCAGCGUUCUCUGGUCCUACCUAAUGCAGAGGAAGAAUAAUCUGAUGGCAAUUUACACAGCAAAAGCAUUCUUUGUACUCUGUUUUACAAUAAACAGAUCAGCAUGGGCCAGUGAGCUAAAAUUAAUGACUAGAGCAUUUGGUUUAAUAGGCAGUGUUUGGGAUUUUUCAUGCUGAAGACUGGAGCCGCUUCAUCCUGCAUAAACUACAACCCUUUCCAAACACUGCCCCUUGUUUUACUCUGGCGCUCUACAUGGAUAGUGAAAACACAAAUUGCUUCUAUAUGAAAGGGCAUUUUAUAUUGCACUGUACGUGAGCAGUAAAGUAAAAGUUAUCGUACCUGACAGUGCCCACGGAUUCCAGAAAAUUUAAAAAAAAGAGUUGACUGUUCUUGGGUCCGUGAGAUAUUUAUGUAGUUUUUUUUAAUAUUUUGCUAUUUCGGGGUUGCGUAUUAAUAGAAGAAUGCCAUCAUUUUUUAUUUACGUUAAUAAAGGGGCAUUCAAAUCAACAUCAUAUAUCUGUCGGCAAAUAGACAAUCAAUACCAUAUACCCAUAGAUAUUUAAAGUUAAAGCAAUCAUGUGUAAAGGUGGAGCAGUGGAGGCACUUAGCUCUCCCCACAGCACAGUACUCCCUAUGAGUGCAUGUUACUAAAAAAGCCAAAGUUCCCAGGAGGCUUAGCGAUAGGGUAGGAGACUGCGAUACUGUAAUAGUCAUCAAUAGACCCGUGUCUGGUUCCAAUGUGGAUAGGAGCCUGAGAGAGUAGUAAAAGGGACCCCAGGACAGCAUGACGUGGUCAGGCUCUGUUGCCUUUGGUUUCAAAGUGGGUUACAUAUUCUUACAAAAGGAAGAUGGCCACUUCUGCUCCUUUCUUCCAUGGGAGUCUCCAGAGGUCAAACAGAGAAUAUUCUCAUGUUUUCAUAAAGUCCAGCUGCAUGGAAGUUGUACCAGAGUAUGUCCACAGAUUCAGGCUGAUGCUUAACAUCAGGUCAACAAUUAUAUGGUGGUUCUAUGAAGACUUUCAAACAAUGGUGGCUUACAGCUAACUGGAGCACAACCAUAAACAUUGGUGUUGAAUGACUAUAAAUAUUAGUAGGGGCUGAAGAACUAUAUUUAUUGAGGGACUGCUGGGCCAGCAGGUGGUAAAGCUGUGCAGGGAGAUGGUGUACUUUCAUCUCCAUUAAAGUUGAUGUCAUUGAAUAUAUUAAGAGGGCCAAUGAAAGGAAUUUAAGUUGUGCAAAUGUUGUUAAUGCACUGGAUUCCUUUCAGUACCUGCAAAGAGGUGAAAUACCCUCUGUAGAAGUUCCACCUAGCACUGAAAGGGUGGAGGGAGUUUAUGAUAAAGGGCUUCCUUCAGCAUUCAUGGAUAAUAUGAGGUUUGUACUGUUUAUUCCAUCCUCCAUGCAAGUUGGGCCUUCUCCCUGUGGAAUUCAAAUGCAAGGAACUCAAGUUAAAGUCAAGUCCCGAGAGGCCUUUAGCGUUGCCUGUUUCACAAUGAAUGAGGUCUAUUAAGAGGCUCACUCUAUCCCUUUCCUCUCUUACAGAGGCUGGACACCAAGGUUGACAUGUGUUCUGUGUUGCUUCAAACUGAUGAAAAAUGUGUCUAUCUGUACUACGCCAUUAUUGGAUCCAUGUCUUUGCUUUAGAGAAAUAUUUUUCACCCUUUGGCUAUUUGCUUUUCUGGAAAACAAUCUUCUCAAAUGCUGGUAAUCAGGCUGUGCUAAAGUCUCCCGGAGCCAGACAUCUCUGGUCUCUCACUAAGAUCAGUGACCUCAGUUCUUCAUAAAAAUAACUAUAACUCAGCAGGCCCGUUUAGCCCCUUAUUGUCCCACUGAGAAAAGUACCUGGACUAGGCUCAUAAAACUUUUCUUCCUUACCCUUUUUAUGCAGCGUCAGUCUGCGUCCUGCAAUUCCAAAACCAUCUGGUUGGAGUUUCUGUUUUAACCACUUAAUUGGUCUCAUAAAACCGUGCUUCUGCAACAGCUUUCAUCAAUGGUAAGGGUAGGUUUCAUCUGACUGGUUGAAAGUGAUUGGUGCUUUCCAGCGCAAAUAACUGUGCUUUGCUUAUUAUUUUAAUGGGAAAAGGCAACUCGGCAUUAUCUGUGUGGCUGGAAUCAAAAACAACAACAAUAACAAGUCCUGAAAGGAUUCAGAGGUCAGCUACCGGAAUGAUCAGAGCAGCAGCAGCUACGGCUCCUCCACAAUUCCUUUUGGUUCAUCAACAAAAAGUUUCCAUCAUACAAGUCCAUAUGGUCAAAACAGGUCAAACUGCAGCCCACCCAAUGCAGCUGCAUAACUACACACACCUAAACUCACACAAGGGGUGGCUAAGAGUUACUAUUCAACAACGGCUGGAGGACUGCAUGUCGGAUAUCACCAACUUGAAAGCAGUACCCAAUUUGGUACAGGAUUUUGCCACCUUUUCUAAAAUCACAGACAUGAAAAUGAAUUUACAUUAAAGCAAAUACUGAACAAUGAAUUAAAUUUAUAUGGGAGAUAAAAAAAAAAAAUCUGUAUUUUCCCAGCAUAUUUUUGACA